UACGGAGGGAGCUAGCGUUGUUCGGAAUUACUGGGCGUAAAGCGCGCGUAGGCGGCUUUGUAAGUUAGAGGUGAAAGCCCGGGGCUCAACUCCGGAACUGCCUUUAAGACUGCAUCGCUUGAAUCCGGGAGAGGUGAGUGGAAUUCCGAGUGUAGCGGUGAAAUGCGUAGAUAUUGGGAGGAACACCAGUGGCGAAGGCGGCUCACUGGACCGGUACUGACGCUGAUGCGCGAAAGCGUGGGGAGCAAACAGG
rnacentral:rRNA from 1 species